rnacentral:rRNA from 1 species
CCCUUAGAUGUUCUGGGCCGCACGCGUGCUACACUGAGUGGAUCAGCGGGUCAGGUUGCGCGAUAGUGUUUCCUAAUCUUGAAAUCCGCUCGUGAUGGGGAUUGACGGUUGCAAUUUUCCGUCAUGAACGAGGAAUACCUUGUAAGCGCGGGUCAUCAUCCCGCGCUGAAUACGUCCCUGCCCUUUGUACACACCGCCCGUCGCUCCUACCGAUUGAGUGGUCCGGUGAGGCUUUGGGAUCUGAGCGGAAAGAGCGUUUCGCUGUUUCUGCUCGGAAAACUCAGUCGAACCUUAUCAUUUAGAGGAAGGAGAAGUCGUAACA